CCUACGGGAGGCAGCAGUAAGGAAUAUUGGACAAUGGUCGCAAGACUGAUCCAGCCAUGCCGCGUGCAGGAUGACAGCCCUAUGGGUCGUAAACUGCUUUUGUGCGAGAAAAAACCCCCUCUACGUGUAGAGGGCUGAUUGUAUCGUAAGAAUAAGGAUCGGCUAACUCCGUGCCAGCAGCCGCGGUAAUACGGAGGAUCCAAGCGUUAUCCGGAUUCAUUGGGUUUAAAGGGUGCGUAGGCGGAAUGAUAAGUCAGUGGUGAAAGCCUGCAGCUUAACUGCAGAACUGCCAUUGAUACUGUCAUUCUUGAGUACAUUUGAUGUGGGCGGAAUGUGUCAUGUAGCGGUGAAAUGCUUAGAUAUGACACAGAACACCGAUUGCGAAGGCAGCUCACAAAACUGUAACUGACGCUGAGGCACGAAAGCGUGGGUAUCAAACAGGAUUAGAUACCCUGGUAGUCCACGCUGUAAACUAUANAUACUCGUAUGUUGUGAGUACACUAGUAGACGUCCGUAACGACGAAGACGUUAAGUAAGUUACCGUUACCGUGGAGGUUACGGCGUCGCGAGAGAGAACGUUAAAGUUAGUUAGUUAGGUUACGGCGUUGGAGGACGUAGGACGACGGACGACGACGAACGGGAAGGUUAAGGAAG
rnacentral:rRNA from 1 species